AUACAUCGGAACGUGCCCAGUAAUGGGGGAUAGCUCGGCGAAAGCCGGAUUAAUACCGCAUACGCCCUGAGGGGGAAAGUGGGGGACCGCAAGGCCUCACGUUAUUGGAGCGGCCGAUGGCUGAUUAGCUAGUUGGUAGGGUAAAGGCCUACCAAGGCGACGAUCAGUAGCUGGUCUGAGAGGACGAUCAGCCACACUGGGACUGAGACACGGCCCAGACUCCUACGGGAGGCAGCAGUGGGGAAUUUUGGACAAUGGGGGAAACCCUGAUCCAGCAAUGCCGCGUGUGCGAAGAAGGCCUUCGGGUUGUAAAGCACUUUUGUCAGGGAAGAAAUCCUUUGGGCUAAUACCCUAGGGGGAUGACGGUACCUGAAGAAUAAGCACCGGCUAACUACGUGCCAGCAGCCGCGGUAAUACGUAGGGUGCAAGCGUUAAUCGGAAUUACUGGGCGUAAAGCGUGCGCAGGCGGUUGUGUAAGACAGGUGUGAAAUCCCCGGGCUUAACCUGGGAAUUGCAUUUGUGACUGCACGACUAGAGUGUGUC
rnacentral:rRNA from 1 species